AGAUGACAUUGUUAUUGAGGAUUUAUAGGCAGUGCAGACACCAGAGAGAGGCCAACAUCCAAAUGAACUCAGCAGAUGACAUCAUCAUCGAAGACUUAUAGGUAGUGUGGACUUCGGGCUUUCAGCAGGUGACAGAAUGAUGGCAGCAGGACCUCCUUUUCCAUAUUUUCGUGGGGGCAGAAGGGAAGCAGUGGCUGUGGGCCCAGAUCAGG